rnacentral:tRNA from 1 species
GAGAGUAUAGCUCAGUGGUAGAGCACAUGCUUAGCAUGCAUGAGGUCCUGGGUUCGAUCCCCAGUACCUCCA